CUGCUGUUUCUGCGUCGCUACAGAAAGUCAGAAGCUUCAAGCCUCAGCAGGUCUCAGAGGACCAAUCAGAGCGCAGCUACAGACCACAUGAUCAACCAGGAUGAAACUAAAGACGGACAUUACGCUUCUCUUCUUCAUGGUGAUUCUUGUCUCUAUGAAGCAAUCGGAGGCUCUGAAGAACCUGAAC